UACGUACAAGCAGUGGGAGCGCGCUUAGGCGUGUGACUGCGUACCUUUUGUAUAAUGGGUCAGCGACUUAUAUUCUGUAGCAAGGUUAACCGAAUAGGGGAGCCGAAGGGAAACCGAGUCUUAACUGGGCGUUAAGUUGCAGGGUAUAGACCCGAAACCCGGUGAUCUAGCCAUGGGCAGGUUGAAGGUUGGGUAACACUAACUGGAGGACCGAACCGACUAAUGUUGAAAAAUUAGCGGAUGACUUGUGGCUGGGGGUGAAAGGCCAAUCAAACCGGGAGAUAGCUGGUUCUCCCCGAAAGCUAUUUAGGUAGCGCCUCGUGAAUUCAUCUCCGGGGGUAGAGCACUGUUUCGGCAAGGGGGUCAUCCCGACUUACCAACCCGAUGCAAACUGCGAAUACCGGAGAAUGUUAUCACGGGAGACACACGGCGGGUGCUAACGUCCGUCGUGAAGAGGGAAACAACCCAGACCGCCAGCUAAGGUCCCAAAGUCAUGGUUAAGUGGGAAACGAUGUGGGAAGGCCCAGACAGCCAGGAUGUUGGCUUAGAAGCAGCCAUCAUUUAAAGAAAGCGUAAUAGCUCACUGGUCGAGUCGGCCUGCGCGGAAGAUGUAACGGGGCUAAACCAUGCACCGAAGCUGCGGCAGCGACGCUUAUGCGUUGUUGGGUAGGGGAGCGUUCUGUAAGCCUGUGAAGGUGUGCUGUGAGGUAUGCUGGAGGUAUCAGAAGUGCGAAUGCUGACAUAAGUAACGAUAAAGCGGGUGAAAAGCCCGCUCGCCGGAAGACCAAGGGUUCCUGUCCAACGUUAAUCGGGGCAGGGUGAGUCGACCCCUAAGGCGAGGCCGAAAGGCGUAGUCGAUGGGAAACAGGUUAAUAUUCCUGUACUUGGUGUUACUGCGAAGGGGGGACGGAGAAGGCUAUGUUGGCCGGGCGACGGUUGUCCCGGUUUAAGCGUGUAGGCUGGUUUUCCAGGCAAAUCCGGAAA
rnacentral:rRNA from 1 species